GGACACCUGGGGACACUGCAACUGUGCUGAGUUACUGAAAUGAGUCAACUCUGCAGCUGUGCCCAGCCUGCCCCAUCUCCUGCUGAUUUGCAUGUUCCCAAAGCAUAGCCCACUGCUCAAGACUUAUUAAUAAGCUGGUCACAUCCAGUAGAAGUGUUAGUCCCAGUCAGGACACAGCAUGGGCAUGAGGGUCUUCACUCAGCUCCUGGGGUUCCUGCUACUCUGGUUCCCAGAUGCCAGAUGUGACAUCCAGAUGACCCAGUCUCCAUCCUCCCUGUCUGCAUCUCUAGAAGACAGGGUCACCAUUACUUGCCGGGCGAGUCAGAGCAUUAGCAGUUGGUUGGCCUGGUAUCAGCAGAAACUAGGGAAACGUCCUAAACUCUUGAUCUACAGGGCAUCUAGUUUACAGACUGGGGUCCCAUCAAGGUUUAGUGGUAGUGGGUCUGGGACAGAUUUCACUCUCACCAUCAGCAACCUGCAGCCUGAAGAUGUUGCCACUUAUUUCUGUGAACAGUAUGACAGAGCUCCUCCCACAGUGUUACAAGCCAUAACAUAA